AGUGAACGCUGGCGGUAGGCCUAACACAUGCAAGUCGAACGGCAGCACAGUAAGAGCUUGCUCUUACGGGUGGCGAGUGGCGGACGGGUGAGGAAUACAUCGGAAUCUACUUUUUCGUGGGGGAUAACGUAGGGAAACUUACGCUAAUACCGCAUACGACCUACGGGUGAAAGCAGGGGAUCUUCGGACCUUGCGCGAUUGAAUGAGCCGAUGUCGGAUUAGCUAGUUGGCGGGGUAAAGGCCCACCAAGGCGACGAUCCGUAGCUGGUCUGAGAGGAUGAUCAGCCACACUGGAGCUGAGACACGGUCCAGACUCCGACGGGAGGCAGCAGUGGGGAAUAUUGGACAAUGGGCGCAAGCCUGAUCCAGCCAUACCGCGUGGGUGAAGAAGGCCUUCGGGUUGUAAAGCCCUUUUGUUGGGAAAGAAAAGCAGCAGGUUAAUACCCCGCUGUUCUGACGGUACCCAAAGAAUAAGCACCGGCGAACUUCGU
rnacentral:rRNA from 1 species